CCCUUAGACGUUCUGGGCCGCACGCGCGCUACACUGACCAGUGCAACAAGCAUCCGUCCUUGGCCGACAGGCUCGGGCAAUCUUUGAACGCUGGUCGUGAUGGGGAUAGACUUUUGCAAUUUUUGGUCAUCAACGAGGAAUUCCUAGUAAACGCAAGUCAUCAACUUGCAUUGAUUACGUCCCUGCCCUUUGUACACACCGCCCGUCGCACCUACCGAUUGAAUGGUCCGGUGAAGCCUCCGGAUUGGCGCGCACCUCGGUGCCGCCGAGAAGUUGGCUAAACCUUACCAUUUAGAGGAAGGUGAAGUCGUAACA
rnacentral:rRNA from 1 species